GCCACUUCAUUAAUAUUUCAAGGCCACAAACUAAGUAUCUCAUUGUCAUAAAUUAUUAUGAUACCAUACCAGUGGCCAUGAAUUGUGUAACCUGAGCCCAAGGCUUAAUAUGUUGUACUAGAUGUUUUGCGAGAUUUGAGAUUUGAGAUCUGAGAUUUUAGCAUAGAUGUUCGUGUCGCACAUCAUAAAAGACAAUCUUAGCAGCUGUUAAUUUUAUUUGUUGUAUUUUAAUUUUUGACACUAUUUUCUUCCUCCGGGUUUAAAAUCAUAAUCAUGGGGCACGUCACGGUACUAUAGUACUUCGAUGAUGCAUCGGUGUCUCAUAAUUAUUCAUGAGCCUUCGUGCUCUUAUCCUAUGAGAAGAUGCUGUCUCUUAAUUAUUCAUGACAGCACGUGGUGCUUUCCUACAGAUGUACUAGAUGAGAGAGCCGUUCAAAUGGGUCGCAAGUGUUUGUUUCAGUGGAGAGCUAUGCGAACUGGAGAAAGGUGGACUUGCUCAUGAAAGCAGUUUGCGUCUACACAAUGAUGCGGUACUCAGUCCCAAGGACUUUUCCAUUCCUUAAAAUGAGCAAUUUGCGUCACAGUGUCUCCUCUGUGGGAUCAGACCAGACAGGCUAACCUUCCCUCACCACAUGCAUCAAUGAGCCUUGGGUGCCCCUGACUCUGUUGCUGGUUCACCAGUUGUCCUUCCUUGGACCACUUUUGGUUGGUACCAACCACUGUAUACCGGGAAUACCCCACAAGACCUGCUGUUUUGGAAAUGCUUUGACAAAGUCAUCUAGCCAUCACAAUUUGGCCCUUGUCAAAGUCACCUAGAUUCUUAUACUUGCCCAUUUUUCUUGCUUCCAACACAUCACCUUCAAUAAUGACUGUUCACUUGCUGCCUAAUAUAUCCCACCCCUUGACAGGUGCCACUGUAGUGAGAUAAUCAUGAAUAAAUGUUAUUCAAAUCACUGGUCAGUGGUUUUAAUGUUAUGGCUGAUUGGCUAUAUACACAUAUA
ensembl:lncRNA